rnacentral:tRNA from 1 species
GGGCCCAUAGCUUAGCCAGGUGGAGCGUUCGGCUGAUAACCGAAAGGUCCUGCGUUCAAAUCGCAGUGGGCCCACCA